UUCCUUCCUUCUUUUCCUGUCUGUCUUUCUGGCUUUCCUUCCUUCCUUCUUUCCUUUUUUUUUCUCUUAUCAUUUCCAUUUUCCAUCAGCAUUUUUCUGUGAUUACUACUUCCAUGGAAAACAGAUAUUUUUCUAAAUUAAUCUAAGGAAAACAUAAAAUAUCAUAUGCCAUGAAGACUAUAAUUCAAGGGCUUCCAAGAGAACUCAGAAGAUCAAAUUGCCAGGACAAAGUUUUUAAGCUGGUCGUGCCGUGAAGCUUAGCUGAAAGUUUUGUAGAACGUCUAACCAGGCUGGAUCAAGAUAUUUGUAGAAUGAAGUAAGCUCAUAGUAACUCCCACUGUCUUCUUUCCGCAUCGGCAUCAAGUGCGCCGGAAAUGCUGACUCGGGCAGGACAGCUGGAGCAGGUGGCCUACAUGCAGGACUCGGCUGCAUGACCCACAGCUGUCUUUCCGCUCAGGCCGGGACAGCGGCAGAAAGACCAGACCAGACAGGAUCCUCUGAUGAGCAGCUCAGGACUUUACAUCAGUGCCCUGGAAACUCUUAGGGUAAUUUCAAGUUCAAAGGAACAGUCUUUCAGCAACAAAUUAGUUAAGUGACCAUAAUUAAGAUUUCAGACUCUGUAACAGUUCAUCUGGCUACUAUCGUGGGAAUGGGAUUCUGGAAAGAACUGCUUUACAGUCAAACCAGGUCCCUACCCCUCAAUACAUAGAAACACACAAACAAGAAAACCAACGUGUUAAAAAAUUGAACAUUCAUUCAUUAUAUAUUCAAAUAUAUUAUUUCUAUUUUUGUUCCUCUUUGAAAAUUAUAGAGGUAGUACCUGUAAAUUACACUCUAGGAAAAGAGCUGAUCUGAUACAUGAAAACCUUAUGAAAAGAGAUUUAGAAGACUCAGCAAAAUGUUGAGAAAAGGUAAAAUCAUAUUCUCUGUGGUGGAUGAAUAAGAUGGAAAGACAGAGAGGGGUCAGUCCAUCCAUUCUUGCUGGGUUCAUAUCUAAUGUGAUUUUGCUUGUGAUUCAUCUUUGUUAAUAUUAGCAGGACCAAUUUUUAUGUGUUUAAAUAGUAAAAAAUAUAGGCGAGAUUUUAAAAGAGGCACAAAGGGAGAUUUCUGUAAAAGGUUUUCAGACAGUGGGCUAUUAUGGAUGGGGGAUCUACCAAAAAAAAAAUCCUCCUCCCAAACCUCAGAUCUGGAUUACAGGUAAAUAUUCUUUCAUUCUUCCGUAUAACAUAGGGAGGGGAGGCGGGCGGUGCAGGGGCAGCAGGCUAGGUUCUGGUGCCAGCUCAGCAUUCUCGGAUUCACCCCCAGUUUGGUCACAAAUGGCAGCAGGAUCCUUGGAGAGGUAGGUGACUGUGUCCCAGUCCUUGGGGGUAGUUGCCGCCUGAGCUUGCGUGGGCGACAUUGACAAGGAGCUAACUUGCUAGAGCAACUGGGGGUCCCUGAGGGGUGGGGAUGUUAGGUCCCUGUGGGAUUUCUGUGCUGAAUAUGUGUAAGGAUAUUUGUAUUGCUUAUUUGAUUCCAAAAUAACCAGUAGGAAAGAAUGAGCAAAAACUUGAUAAACUUGUCAUUUUGUCGGAAGGUGAUUCUUAUCCGGUACCAACACAUUUACCUGUGCAGACAUAAUCAGGAGUGUCAUACGCUGGGUUUGUUUCUUUCUAAAUUCAGGCUAGUAAAUGUAUUCAUUCUUCAUUAGCCUUAGAGAGGAAUUUUUUUCCUGGAUGAGGGAGAACAUCUCACAGGGAUUUUUUGAGCCUGCAGCAUCUAGUCAAAAAAGUUUUCAAAGAAUUUUCACAAUGCUGGUAAAAGCAUUGGAAAAAUGAAGAAAGAAUGAUAUAUUAUGGUUUCCUUAGUGGUUUUGAUCACAGGCAUGAAUAAAUUCAUAAACUGAAAAAGAAAUUUCCGGUCCGCUUUUUUCCAACUGACUAUCUACUCGGUGUAAUUGCAUCAAUCCAAUUAAAAAAUAGUGACACAGUUAUAAUUCAUGAGGUCCUAAAAAUAUGUUUUUAGGAGAGAGUGGUGCAGACAAAAAUGUGAACUUUGAAUCUGAAUCUGUCAUGUUGUGUAUAAUUAUCCUUCAACCAAUAACUUUUGUUUCACUGGUCAUUGCUUUCUUAAAAGUAUAAAAAGAAUACAUGUCUCAAAUGAAAAAAAUUGGAAAAGAGAAAAAAUAAAGAAAAAAUUGAAAUCUCAUAGCAACACUUAUUACUGUUAACAUUUGCUAUAUUUCCAUUCAUUCGUUCUGUCAACGUAACAACUAUUUCAAGUGGAUGUGGUUAGAACUAAAUGAAAUUAAAUAUGGAAUUAGCUCCGUAUAGGUUGGGACAUGGUCAGUAAUAAGAAAAAAGCCAAUUCUUCAGAAUUCCAAUUACCACCCACUGCAGUUCUGCAUAGAAUCAGGAGUACAGAAAAAAAUGUAUUAGUUACAAUCUAGUCUAUAGGACACUUAAAACAAAUGGUCAGAUUUCCAGAAUACUUUUAAUUUCUAAGACUCACCGUUCAAAUCAUUGUAAAAAUGAUUAGAAUGUAAUAAGCAUUACUUCAAAUAUUGCCAACCUGAGUAUAAGAUGAUCUUUAAUUUUUCAGUACAAAUACUUGGAUGUAAAAAGAGGGGGGGAUUUGCAACUCGAUCAUACAAACUUACAAUGACAUAGAUGCAAAAUGAAAUAUUCAUUUAUAAUAUUUUAUACCUUUAUUGGGUUAUACCCACAAAUUAAAAAGUAUAUCUUUUUU